rfam:Vigna angularis cultivar Jingnong 6 chromosome 2, whole genome shotgun sequence.
CAUUGCUCGUCGCUCCUACCGAUUGAAUGAUCCGGUGAAGUGUUCAGAUUGCGGUGACGUGGGCGGUUCACUGCCCGUGACGUGGUGAGAAGUCCACUGAACCUUAUCAUUUAGAGGAAGGAGAAGUUGUAACAAGGUUUCCGUAGGUGAACUUGCGGAAG